UACGUAGGGUGCGAGCGUUGUCCGGAAUUACUGGGCGUAAAGGGCUUGUAGGUGGCCAACUAAGUCAGACGUGAAAUCCCUCGGCUUAACCGGGGAACUGCGUCUGAUACUGGAUGGCUUGAGUGUGGGAGAGGGAUGCGGAAUUCCAGGUGUAGCGGUGAAAUGCGUAGAUAUCUGGAGGAACACCGGUGGCGAAGGCGGCAUCCUGGACCAUUACUGACACUGAAAAGCGAAAGCCAGGGGAGCAAACGGG
rnacentral:rRNA from 1 species